GACGAACGCUGGCGGCGUGCUUAACACAUGCAAGUCGAGCGGUAAGGCCCUUUCGGGGGUACACGAGCGGCGAACGGGUGAGUAACACGUGGGUGACCUGCCCUCAGCUCUGGGAUAAGCCUAGGGAAACCGGGUCUAAUACCGGAUAUGACUCCAUGACGCAUGUUGUGGGGUGGAAAGCCUUGUGCGGCUGAGGAUGGGCCCGCGGCCUAUCAGCUUGUUGGUGGGGUGAUGGCCUACCAAGGCGACGACGGGUAGCCGGCCUGAGAGGAUGGCCAGCCACAUU
rnacentral:rRNA from 1 species